CGCGGGGUGGAGCAGUCUGGUAGCUCGUCGGGCUCAUAACCCGGAGGUCGUAGGUUCAAAUCCUAUCCCCGCACCCA
rnacentral:tRNA from 1 species